ACUUUCUGGAAUCCCAAACUUGUAUGCUGCACAAAACACCAUCUAUUUGAAGUGCUAGAAUGUUCAGAGCACUGUGUAGAAUUUGACAGACACUUGCAGGUGAUAGCAUUCUUAGUUUUCAUGAGCUUUUGAUAUGUCUAUCACAGAAUUGUAAAAAUAAUACACAUGGUCUUUUAACUAAUCAAAAUUACUUGAAUAUUUCAAUUUUUUUAAGUUUUAUUAUGUUUUCCUAAAUAAAUAGUCUAUAUUCAAAAGUUCCAGGAGGCAUUUUGAGAGGGGACGGGGAGAGGAGUAUGAGAUGGAGGAAUAGGAGGAUGAGUGAGCAGGGCUCAAGGUCCAAAAGAGACCUGGUGGUGGCACAUUUCUUGAGCUGGGUAUGGGACGUGGUGGAGUCUCACAUUAUUUAUUUUGUCAUUCUUGUUACUACAUGUAUGCCACAAAUUUCACACUGUAGUCAUCUGAUAUGGAAUAAAACGAUUUAACUGAAAGAAUUGUAGUACAUGCAGCACCCAUGAUAAUGAAAUUAUGAAGCUAAAAUAAGCGAGUGUGCGGAAUGAAGCAACUGACGGUUUCUCGCUGUGUACUGGCAUUUCUGUUCUAACCUGUUAAGUAGGUAAGUGUUAGAGGAAAAUGAGAAGUAUUUAAAUAGGAAAGAAAGUAGCAAGAAGAAAGGAAGGAAAGAAGGGAGGGAGGGAGACAGGGAGACAGAUAGAGAUUGUCUUUUAACGGACAGAGAGACAGAGACCAAAGCAGAAGGCCAGCUGUGAGGAGCUGCAGCCUUCCUGGCUUCUGCCUAGAGCCAGGCUAACAGGCGGGCUGGCGCCUGCUUUGCAUAGGAGUCUACAGCCCGAGGCCAGGAGCACAUUGCAUGGCUCUGCCGCCCAGGGUUCAAAUCGAACUACAGGAUUCCAGCCUGGUGAUGUCAAGCAGUUGACUUCAAUUCCAAGACACUUUUUGUGACAAUUCUUUUCUUUCAUAAAAACGACAGAUCAAUAUUUACUUGAAGAUACAGUUGAGUACAAGAUUGGGAGCGUGCGCGCACCGGUGUUCUUGCACUCCCUCUGCUGGUCUUGCUGAUUAACAGAAUCAGCCUCUAAGCAGUCCGGUGAAAGAGCCAUGCUAGAGGACUACCGAGGACUAUUGAGGGCAACCGAAGACAACUCUGAGGAGGACUCCUGAGGAGGACCACUGAAGAGGGCACCUGAAGACAACUCUGAGGAGGACUCCUGAGGAGGACCACUGAAGAGGGCACCUGAAGACAACUCUGAGGAGGACUCCUGAGGAGGACCACUGAAGAGGGCACCUGAAGACAACUCUGAGGAGGACUACCGAGGAGGACCACUGAAGAGGGCACCUGAAGACAACUCUGAGGAGGACUACCGAGGAGGACCACUGAAGAGGGCACCUGAAGACAACUCUGAGGAGGACUACCGAGGAGGACCACUGAAGAGGGCACCUGAAGACAACUCUGAGGAGGACUACCGAGGAGGACCACUGAAGGAUGGCCAGCUAUGUGUCAGAAAUUCAUGUUGCUUGGCCCCCAGAUGAAGCAAAGUUAACCUAAGAAAAUUUGCUCAUAGGUGAUAGAAGCAAAUAUAUACCAUGAUCAUUUUUAUAUCUUGAAGAAAGUGUCAUGUGAAAUGAACAGUUUCACAUGUCUCAAAAAAUGUCAUUCUCCCCCUCCCAAAUAGUUGAGCUGGUUACUCAUGUUCUAUCCAAAUGUAUAUAUAAUUUAUAAGACGCAUAAAAAUAUGGUGCACGAAUUUUGUAUCUGAAUAUUUACACCCUGGGAAGCGAAAUGGAAAGUUGUUUGGCUUUGAUGGCGGGACUCUCCGGCUGGAGACGCAGCUGCCCGGGGGCUCCACUCCCACAUCCUCGACUCCCCUCAUGGAGUUGCAAAGAGAGUGACAGCUCCUGGCAAAGCCCAGGCCUAAUCAUAGCUCAGAGAAAUGACUUUUGGAAGGUACAUUACCAAGCAAUUAGGAGCCAUUUAAUAAAUUACCCCUUAGGAAACACUUUGAACCCUAGUGGUCUGAAGAGGUUAAUGCACCUCUCACAACUGAGUGUUACUACUCGCUUUCCCGGGGGUAACACUAAGGCCACAGCUCAACCAACCCACUUCUCCUCAAUGGCCUCUUACUUUUGAACCACUUCCCUAGUUGGUAUCCAAAGCCCACGCACUUCACUCCCCCCUCUGCAGGUCACAUGUGACAUUCUCUUACUGCGCAUCCAUUGGGCGAGCGGCUCAUGGUGCCAGAGGACUUUCCGCUGAGGUUAACCAGCCCGGCCGGCUUCUUGCUGCUUAUUUUCGAGGCCAUUUUUUCUUAUUUAUAGAGAAUUUGGCUUCUGAGUUUCCUUUAAAUGUUACAUAUGAUGCAAUUUCCUUUCUUCUGAAAUUGUUGAGUAGCAACCACAUUUUAAAUGGAUCCAGUGCUCAGAAUUAAUUUUUAGGACGUUAAAUUUGGAGAACAUCCAUGGUAGGUAUAUAUUUAUAAGCUAAAAUUUUACUAUGGCCAGACACUAAAAAAAAAAAAAAAAAUCCGAAAAGGCAGGGUGUCGGGGAAGCUCUGUUGGAUACUAGACCAUAAUUAGAUUUUUAAAAAAGGUUUUUUGAUUUAAUUUAAACUCAACUUGAGAUUCUUGGAACAAAAAUGUUUAUGGCCCAUCAAUCUUCUUUAUUUUAAAAGAUAUUCAAAGAAUGGGAUGAAAAGAGAGAGAAAUUCCAGAAUAUUUCUGUGACUCCAUUAAGGCCAACACCACACUAGCCCUUUGGAUGGACUGCUGAAAGUUGGUUCCAUAAUCAUCAUCAACAUUGUCAUGAGGUAUUGAGUUCUGAUCCUAUUGAAGGCUCUGCCAGGAGCCACAGGAGAUGAGUAAGACAUGGUGCAGGGCUUUGAGACACUUAUAGCUGUGUGGUUGAGCUAGGAUUUACGUGUGUGGGAAAAUAACAGCAAUGAGUGGAAAUUACCAAAGGAAGAGGAAUCUGCUCAGGAAGACUUGGUAGAGACAUGGCAUUUCCUCAAGCCCUUGCUUAGUCUCUGAUAAGAAAGCUGAAAGGAAAAUAAAGUGGAAUAUUCCAACACUGAAAGAGUCAA